rnacentral:rRNA from 1 species
GACGAACGCUGGCGGCGUGCUUAACACAUGCAAGUCGAACGAAGUGGCGAACGGGUGAGUAACGCGUAAUCAACCUGCACUUCAGAGGGGGACAACAGUUGGAACAGACUGCUACUACCGCAUACUGAAGGAGUGGAUUGCGUCGGAUUAGCUAGGUGGAGGGGUGACGGCCCACCAAGGCGAUGAUCAGUAGCCGGUCUGGGAGGGUGAACGGCCAAAUUGGGACUGGGACAAGGGCCAGAAUGCUACGGGGGGCAGCAGUGGGGAAUCUUCCGAAAUGGACGAAAGUCUGACGGAGCAACGCCGCGUGAGUGAUGACGGCCUUCGGGUUGUAAAGCUCUGUUAAUCGGGACGCGGUACCGGAAGAGAAAGCCACGGCUAACUACGUGCCAGCAGCCGCGGUAAUUC